AAUAACUUUAGAAGACAUUGAAUCCAUUGAAUCGUCUCUCUCUUUGCGUUUACCAAGUGCUUGAAGGAUACUUUGAAUAUCAAUGCCUUGUAACAAAUUUUGAACAUCAGGUUGAGAGUCCUUCGAAGCGUCACCCGUAGCAUUUUUAAUAUUAGACGAAACAGCUGCUUCCGCUAAAUUUUGUGUACUAGUAUUUGUGUUUGAAUGUUUGUUUUCUGACGGGCGUACUUCUUGCAAACAAGUCGCAUGAAAUAUACGGCCUUCCUCUUCGACUGCAUUCAUAAAGACCCAAACUUCAGCUUCCUCAUGCCAAACACUUUGGAAUUUUUCUUGACAUAUUGGACAAGGCUCGGACGCAGCAAUUGGAUCUAAGGGUGUCAAUACAUAUUGUGACCUAACGGAUUCCAUUUGCUUUUGACGCUGUUCUUCGAUUUCCUGAGCAGUCUCUGUAAUUAAAUCUUCCUCUUCUUUGCUAUUGACCCAUUCUUCCUCCAUCACAAACCAACAGCGAUUAAUCCCAUGAAGGCUACUUUCACGAAUUCUCUUAUUGAUCCGAAAAUGCCAAUCUGAAUGUUUGUCCAACUCCUUUCUACUUUCAGGAUCAUUUCCAUAACGCCUACCACAGUUUGCGCAUUGGUUAGAAUAAUUCUCAUAUAACAAAGAAGAUAGCUUGGGCCGAGGAGUAGCGAGCGAAGAUUUAGAAAGGUCAAUGUCUGCUGUUAGAGACACAGCUUCAGUACAAGAAGCUUGUGGACCUUGAGACUUACCACCAGCAGAUGGCGGAACCAACCCUGCAGCUUGCAGAUUAGCAAAAAGAGAAUCUAUACUAGACGAUUCUUCAGGCGUUAACGCGUUCGCGUUGUAUAAGGAUGCCGGCGGCCCUGAAGAUAACGAAUACUUGUGACUUUGAGGACCUGGAUGGACAUAUGAAUGAGUGAGUGGAGGUUGCGAAGAUACAGAAGCCGAAUACGCAGAAGGAAUUGUAGGAAUGGUAGAUGGAAUAGAAGGUUUCAUAAAAGGAGUCGAAGAAAUAGAUGAUAAUGCAGAAGGCACGGAGGGAGCAGACGUAGCAACAGAACUCGUUGAAGGAGAAG